GACGAACGCUGGCGGCGUGCUUAACACAUGCAAGUCGAACGGAAAGGCCCUGCUUUUGUGGGGUGCUCGAGUGGCGAACGGGUGAGUAACACGUGAGUAACCUGCCCUUGACUUUGGGAUAACUUCAGGAAACUGGGGCUAAUACCGGAUAGGAGCUCCUGCUGCAUGGUGGGGGUUGGAAAGUUUCGGCGGUUGGGGAUGGACUCGCGGCUUAUCAGCUUGUUGGUGGGGUAGUUGCUUACCAAGGCUUUGACGGGUAGCCGGCCUGAGAGGGUGACCGGCCACAUUGGGACUGAGAGACGGCCCAGAAUCCUACGGGAGGCAGAAGGGGAGAAUAUUGCACAGUGGGCGGAAGCCUGAUGCAGCAACGCCGCGUGCGGGAUGAAGGCCUUCGGGUGGUGAACCGCUUUCGCCUGUGACGAAGCGUGAGUGACGGUAAUGGGUAAAGAAGCACCGGCUAACUACGUG
rnacentral:rRNA from 1 species